AGUAACAAGUGGGCAACCUGUCCGGAUGGAUACUUCAUGGGAGGUCUUUAAAGGACAGGAAAAGACCCUUGGCUGCAUAACAUCGAAGAGGCUCGGUGCUGUAAGCCAGAAGGGUUGCCAGAUAAAUAUGCAGACUGCUAUGUUGAGAAUGUUUGGGGUUCGUUUGAUCACAAAGGACUUAGCGAGUGCAAGCGUGAGGGCUACUACAUGGCUGGAAUAUUUAGAGGGAAUUGAGACAAGCUCUACUGUCUUGAAGAGUUUAAAUGUUGCCGAAUGAUGGCUAUCGAAGGCCCGCCCAUUCAAGCUGAUGAAACAAAAAGCAAAGAGUAAUUCUCAAAUACCAGAUUCGGCGUGCGGUAGAGGCAAGCUGCUGAGUUAGAUGGAAGUUGUAAAUGCAAAAGUGUUAACCAUACGUCUGUUGUGUGGAGACAGUGUUACAUCACAUCAACAAUAAACGCAUUGUUAC